AGCCAAGGGGAAUACAUGGCGAUGUGAAAGACUGCAUGAUGUGCAAUUCAGAUAUCAGUUGCGCUCUUGGCCUUUGACUUCUGCAUCUGAGCAGGUUGACUCCCUGCCAGUUUAGAUGCCAGGUCAACUCUCUUCUACUUUUCCAACCAGAAUUGCCUCCACUUGUUAGCAUUAUCAAGCAAGGAAGCAUUGGUAUGGACAUUUAGUGGAGCCUAUGGGGGUUGGGAUAUUGCACACCCACAGCAAGUUUGUUGAAACAUUCUUUUGAGUAGUUCUGAUGUUCCCUAAUCUUUUGGGCUCAUCUGCAAAGAAUGAACUUUUUCUUCCUAGGGCAGGCUCACAGCUAUGCUGGGCCUUUCCCUCUGCAUGUUGCCUUUGUUUUUCUUUUCUCCAGUCUCCAGAGUAUGUGAAGCUCUUCUCAAUAUUUCAUGCACAGCAGCUUAGCCACCAUCUUCCAUCAUUUUGUUAUGUCCUGGAUGUUCUUAUAUCCAUUCCAAGAGGUUCAUCAAAUGAUUCAACAAGUGUUCAUUAGAAGUCCUCCACUGUGCUUUUCCACCAUGCCUUGGAGCCAGCUGACCUUGGACUAAAAAUGUUUAGUGUUCUUAUAGAAUGAGAUCCAGAGAAUUCAUUCAUUCUUCUCUCUACUCAUGAGAAUCUACUGAAGAAAGUCCAUGGAUGGACAUAGCAAGAAUGGAGCCCCUGAAAACCAGGAAUGCAGGCAUCACCAUUAAUCUCACUUCCAUCUGGCCUUGCCUAAUGUUUAUGGGCGUGAGCUUCUGGAGAAACAUGGUCGUGAUUACAGCUGAGAUUCUAAAAAACUGAACAACAAGAAAUCAGCACACUUUCAGCCAACAGGGUGCCAGAACAUCUAAGUCAGUAGGAACAAAUUAGUCUCAAUGCUGAUAUUGAUGGACUCAAUUCUAAUCAAACUAGAAUGAAAACACAGGAGAUUCAAGGAGACAGAUCAAUAAACAGGAAACCCCACUAAAAACACUACCUGAAGAAUGACUGGACUGCCCAUUUUUGGCCCUUUCCUGCCCUGAGGAAGAUCAGUGCUAUAAUCCUAUUCUCCACUUACUCCUGCCCGGCUCCCUUCUCUUGCUCUUGGCUCCCACCCUAUGUCUGCCUUGCUGUCUAUCACCUUUAUGUCUCUUCUCUGCUCCUCCCUACCCCUCACUUUUGUAUAGAGUUGACAGACUUCAUAGCUUUUAAAAUCCAUUAAUACGUGUUGCCAAGAGGAAUAGGUUUCAGGCUUAAUUGACCUUACAAAUACUAUCAUUACAUUUAAUUGUCUUGGACUUAGGGGAAAAAUGAUAAAAUUCUUUUCCUUAGAGCACAAAUCCAAAUACUUGCUACUCAUCUAAGCUCAGCCUAAAGCAAGUUCUUGGUGGAAAUACAGCUUUUCCCCCUAAAUUUAUAAAGGCAUAAUAGGUUUUCAGUGUCCUCCAUUAUGCUGUUGGAAGAUUUGUAUUAAUUUCCUGCUUUAUAAGGGUGAGGAAACUUGAUGUACUAGUUUAGAUUUAUAAUUCUUUUGAAAAAUCAAAAGAUCUGGCAAAAUGGGGCCUGUAUUUCUAGAUACCAGGGGUUGCUGUAGCCAACGCAUGGCUUCCCUCUGUGUCAGGAGCUCUUGGUCCAGCACAGGCCCUUUGUGGACCAUUUCUUGCUCUCAUAGUACCUGCCUGGCCCCACAGGCAUUUCAGGGUUUAACCUCAUCGUUAGAGAAGAGGUUCUGUCAUUUCUUUUGAACUUUGCAACCCUUCCCCAGAAGCAUGUCUCAGGAAAGACAUAGAGGUUGAUGGGAAGUACAUUAACAAUGAUGAAAGAGCUAGGGUUAUUUUACUCCAAGAUUGAUUCACUCAUUUAUUUUUUCAAUCAUGCAUUCACCCUACUUUCUCUCCACUGUUGGCUAUUACAAUAAUUCUUUAAAUAGACAUGGUAAAAAUUCAAAUAGUACAAAAGGUAUACUAAAAAAAAGAGAGACAUGAAUUUCACACAAAUCUCCGACUUCUGCUUCUCAGAAGGUACUUUGUUUUCAGGUUUUUAAGUGUUACUCCCAUGACAGUCCAUGUAUAUGUACACAGGCUAAUACAUGCUCCAUUUCAUGUUAUACCAAAUGAUGGCAGACUGAAGACCAUUCUAUAUCUUCCUUUUUUUUUAAACUUUGUGCUAUGAUUUCAAAUUAUCCUAUGUCUGGGUUGAUUUAUCUCAUUCUUCCUAAAGCCUGCAAAGCACUUACUUCAUUUUAUUG